AAUAAACGAGCGUAAUAAAGAGAAUAUAGAUAUAUUUUACCCUUUAUGUGAGCGCAGGCGCACUAGCAACUAUACUUGCUGGACGCAUCAGUCGAUCUUGAGCCACCGAAGUGUACACUUCGAUGUAAAGCAAUGCGACUUAUGCAUAUCUUCGUUGUUUCUCUUGUCACUUAUUCAUCUUUUAUUUAUCUAUUUGUCGCUUAAAUGAAAUAUUCAGUUUUCUCUUAUAAUACAUGUUAACAUCUGGUUAAUUAUAUCGGAACAUCAAGAAGGGACAUGCUGAGGUUUACUUAUCAUUACAGUACAGUCCAUGUUACACGCCGACGUUAUAAACAGCAGCAACUAGAAAAGGUACAACAGUAAAAAGAAAUUUAGUAAGGGCAAUAAAAAUGGACUUGACACCGAUAACGCUUCAACAAUGUAAUCACAGUAAUACCUGAGAAAAUAAAGUGGAGCAGUGUGCAC